rnacentral:tRNA from 1 species
AGAAAUUUAGGUUAAACAGACCAAGAGCCUUCAAAGCCCUAAGUAAGUGAAUACACUUAAUUUCUG